rnacentral:rRNA from 1 species
UACAGAGGGUGCAAGCGUUGUUCGGAAUUAUUGGGCGUAAAGGGCGCGUAGGCGGUGCGGUAAGUCUGCAGUGAAAUCUCUGGGCUCAACUCAGAGUCUGCUGUAGAAACUGCCGUGCUUGAGUGUGGGAGAGGUGAGUGGAAUUCCCGGUGUAGCGGUGAAAUGCGUAGAUAUCGAGAGGAACACCAGUGGCGAAGGCGAGUCUCUGGACGACUCCUGACACUGAGGCACGAAAGCCAGGGGAGCAAACAGG